rnacentral:rRNA from 1 species
GACAUUGUUCAACGGCCGCGGUAUCCUAACCGUGCGAAGGUAGCGUAAUCACUUGUUCUUUAAAUAAGGACUAGUAUGAAAGGCACCACGAGAGUCAUGCUGUCUCCUUUCUCUAAUCAGUGAAACUAAUCUCCCCAUGAAGAAGCGGGGAUAAAAAUAUAAGACGAGAAGACCCUAUGGAGCUUUAAACAAGUAACACCUGCCCAUCAAAUUUCCAAUUUCAGAAAAAUUUUCUACCCCGGCAUCAUGAUUAUUAGUUUUCGGUUGGGGUGACCGCGGAAUAAAAACUAACCUCCGCAAUGAAAGACACUCAUCUACUUAAUUAAGGGCCACAACCCCACACAUCAACAAAUUGACACUAAUUGACCCAACAUGUUGAUCAAUGAACCAAGUUACCCUAGGGAUAACAGCGCAAUCCGCUUCAAGAGCUCCUAUCGACAAGUGGGUUUACGACCUCGAUGUUGGAUCAGGGUGUCCUAGUGGUGCAGCCGCUACUAAAGGUUCGUUUGUUCAACGAUUAAAACCCUACGUGAUCUGAGUUCAGAC